rnacentral:lncRNA from 1 species
AUGGCAGCCAUUGAUUUGUCCUGUGGCUUCCUUACCAGGGAACCAAUCUGCCUUUAUGAGAAAAAGACAAAGAUAUAAUAGAAAGGUUGGUGGGUGACUGUCUGCCAAAUUGGUAUCAGGGUUCAGUGAACUUUUAUGAUAUGACUAUGGAGUUCACCCAGAGGAGUGAACUUUACUGGACAUGAUUCAGAGAUACCUCUGCAGAUACAUGAUACUGGAGAACUGCAAGCACCUGGGCUCAGUAAGAUUUCAGCUCUUUAUACACAGCCUGAUCUCUUGGUUACAAUAAAAAGAGUUGAAGACAGUUCAGAGUGGAGUUCUUCAAGAAGCUACAAUAGAGGGGAACUCUGUGAUUGUAAGAAUUGUAGAGAAAACUUCAGUGAACACUUAUGCCCAAGAAUGAAUCAGGAAGAAAUUGAAACCCUGAACAGACCAAUAUCAAUCAAUAUGACACACAUGAGAGCUCAGAAUAGAGGGAACACUUCUGAGUGUAACUGGUGUAGAAAAGACAUCCAUACUCUGCAGAAGAAAACCUCUAUUGGACAGGAGCUUCCUUAGUUUAAUUAGUUUGCAAAAGUCUUCACCCUGACUCCAAGCCUUGCUGUGCAUCUGCAAGAAAACCCUGCAAAUUUAAGGAAUGUGGAAAAGCUUUCAAGUAUUUGCAGUC